rfam:Bacillus sp. VT-16-64 NODE_73, whole genome shotgun sequence.
UUGUGUAAGAAGGAGCUGCCCGCUUCUCGCCUGAUUGACGCAAUUUGGCUGUUGACAGGUUACGAAUUCAUAAUCUAUUUUUCACAUUUUACAUGAUAAGUGAUAAUAGCGCGGGUCCUCUGCAUACCCGUGCUUUUUUGUUUUG